UACGGAGGGGGCUAGCGUUGUUCGGAAUUACUGGGCGUAAAGCGCACGUAGGCGGCUUUGUAAGUCAGAGGUGAAAGCCCGGAGCUUAACUCCGGAAUUGCCUUUGAGACUGCAUCGCUUGAAUCCAGGAGAGGGGCGUGGAAUUCCGGGUGUAGUGGUGAAAUGCGUAGAGAUCCGGAGGAACCCCAGAGGCGAAGGCGGCGCCCUGGCUCGCAACUGACGCUCAGACACGACAGCAUGGGGAGCGAACGGG
rnacentral:rRNA from 1 species